UGGAUGAGUUGCGAACGGGUGAGUAGCGCGUAGGUAACCUGCCUGGUAGCGGGGGAUAACUAUUGGAAACGAUAGCUAAUACCGCAUAAGAGUAGAUGUUGCAUGACAUUUGCUUAAAAGGUGCACUUGCAUCACUACCAGAUGGACCUGCGUUGUAUUAGCUAGUUGGUGGGGUAACGGCUCACCAAGGCGACGAUACAUAGCCGACCUGAGAGGGUGAUCGGCCACACUGGGACUGAGACACGGCCCAGACUCCUACGGGAGGCAGCAGUAGGGAAUCUUCGGCAAUGGACGGAAGUCUGACCGAGCAACGCCGCGUGAGUGAAGAAGGUUUUCGGAUCGUAAAGCUCUGUUGUAAGAGAAGAACGAGUGUGAGAGUGGAAAGUUCACACUGUGACGGUAUCUUACCAGAAAGGGACGGCUAACUACGUGCCAGCAGCCGCGGUAAUACGUAGGUCCCGAAGCGUUGUCCGGAUUUAUUGGGCGUAAAGCGAGCGCAGGCGGUUAGAUAAGUCUGAAGCUAAAGGCUGUGGCUUAACCAUAGUAGGCUUUGGAAACUGUUUAACUUGAGUGCAAGAGGGGAGAGUGGAAUUCCAUGUGUAGCGGUGAAAUGCGUAGAUAUAUGGAGGAACACCGGUGGCGAAAGCGGCUCUCUGGCUUGUAACUGACGCUGAGGCUCGAAAGCGUGGGGAGCAAACAGGAUAGAUACCCUGGUAGUCCACGCUGCUAAACGAUGAGUGCUAGGUGUUAGACCC
rnacentral:rRNA from 1 species